AUGGCUUCAUCCGGUUCCAUGACGAGGCCACCAUGUGCUAACCAAGAAGACAUGCCGAACAAGUGGGAGGAUGCAUCUUUGGACAAGGUGAAGGAGAAAGAUGUCAACAUCCUGCCUUGUUGGUGUGGAGAUGUUUGCAAGGUGAAGGUGUCCACCGACCGAAAGAAAGCAUGGACGGAAGGGCGGAGAUAUUUUGUAUGCCCGAACUAUGCUUAUGAUCGUGCACUUCCAACUAACGCCUAUGACCAACCACCGGUAAGCUCGAGAAGUAAAAUGUUACUCUCAAAUGUGUUCAACACUAACAACAAAUUUUUAUGCAGUCACCGCCUCCUCUAUGCAAGUACUUCACGUGGAUAG
rnacentral:rRNA from 1 species